UUGAAUUCAUUUCUUGAGGGGAGCACAACUAAACAUGAUUGGUGGUGGUCACAAAGGAAGCAUGAGGACAAUGUAGUUAGUGAAGAAGAGCAGCAAGGGGUUAUUCGGUUGUUGCAGCAAUUCCCAAUAGUGUUUCGGGAACGCAUAAGCCUACCGCCAGAAAGAAAACAGAUGCAUUACAUUCAGUUAGUGGCGCGUACUGGACCAGUUAAUGUGAGGCCAUACAGAUAUCCACAUUAUCAGAAGGAUGAGAUUGAGAG
rnacentral:lncRNA from 1 species